CCAUGUGAACGUGAUAAAGAAACGUACUUGAAGUUCUCGUGGAAAUUAAUGGUGGAAAAAUUAGGGUUUGCCUCCCUAAAGAGCCUUCCUUUUUAUAUUUCCCCCACAUCGAGUAUAAAUAUAUACAUAUACAUACGUACAUACAUACAUACAUACAUAUGUAAAAGGCUAAAGCGACGGAUGAGGACCCAUUGCGGCCAAAACCUCUCCGUCACAGUCA
rnacentral:lncRNA from 1 species